rnacentral:rRNA from 1 species
UGUUGUGGUUAAAAAGCUCGUAGUUGGAUCUCGGCGGACUGAGGGCGGUUUGCUUGCUAGUAUUACUGCCCUAUAGUCCGUAGUUUUGCCAGAGGUUUCGGGGUGCUCUUAAUCGAGUGUCCCGGGAUGCUGGCAGGUUUACUUUGAAAAAAUUAGAGUGCUCAAAGCAGGCUAUUACGCCUGAAUAUUCGUGCAUGGAAUAAUAGAAUAGGAAGUCGUUUCUAUUUUGUUGGUUUUCGGAAAUCGACUUAAUGAUUAAUAGGGACAGUCGGGGGCAUUUGUAUUCAAACGACAGAGGUGAAAUUCUUGGACCGUUUGAAGACAAACUACUGCGAAAGCAUUUGCCAAGAAUGUUUCCAUUAAUCAAGAACGAAAGUUAAAGGUUCGAAGGCGAUUAGAUACCGCCCUAGUUUUAACCAUAAACGAUGCCAGCUAGCGAUCUGCGGACGUUUUUUUUGUAGACUCCGCAGGAAGCUUCCGGGAAACCAAAGCAUUUGGGUUCCAGGGGAAGUAUGGUUGCAAAGCUGAAACUUAAUGGA